GCCAAACAGCUAGCUUAAACACCCCUAUAACCAAUAAAUACAAAUAAUAUAUAAUAAACCUAAAAUAACUAACCUAAACCAUUUUUCCACUUUAGUACGGGAGACGGAAAUAGAUUAAAUAAGCAAUAGAAAAAGUACCGCAAGGGAAAGCUGAAAAAGCAAUGAAACAAAUCAUAACAGCACAAAAAAGCAGAGACUAGACCUCGUACCUUUUGCAUCAUGAUUCAGCAAGAACAUAACAAGCAAAGAGACCCUUUAGUUUGAAGCCCCGAAACCAAGCGAGCUACCCCGAGACAGCCUAUACGGGCGAACCCGUCUCUGUGGCAAAAGAGUGGGAAGAACUCCGGGUAGAGGUGAAAGACCUACCGAGCUUGGUGAUAGCUGGUUGUCCGAGAAAUGAAUAAAAGUUCAGCCCCAUGCCCCCCCCCAUCAAGAAAGUUAAUCUUAAAUAGAAUAAGAGAAAUACAUGGAGGUUAGUCAAAAGGGGUACAGCCCUUUUGACUAAAGACACAACUUUACAAGAAGAGUAAGGAUUAUAACUACUAAAAUACAUCGUCUCAGUGGGCCUAAAAGCAGCCAUCUGGAUAAAAAGCGUUAAAGCUUAAACGACAUAAAAUUUAUUAUUCCAAUAAAAAAUCCCAACCCUCUAAAAUUAUCAGACCACCCCGUGCCAACACGGGAGAGAUUAUGCUAAAAUGAGUAAUAAGAAAACACAUUUUUCUCCUGACACAAGUGUAAGCCAGACCGGACCUACCACUGGUAAAUAACGAGCCCAACAAAAGAGGGAAAAGUGACUAAUACUAAAAACAAGAAAACCCCACAACCAAAAAUCGUUAAACCCACACCGGAGUGUCUAUAGGAAAGACUAAAAGAGAAGGGAAGGAACUCGGCAAACAUAAGCCCCGCCUGUUUACCAAAAACAUCGCCUCCUGCUAAAAUCAAAGUAUAGGAGGUCCAGCCUGCCCAGUGACCCUAGGUUCAACGGCCGCGGUAUUUUGACCGUGCAAAGGUAGCGCAAUCACUUGUCUUUUAAAUGAAGACCUGUAUGAAUGGCCAAACGAGGGCUUAACUGUCUCCCCUCUCAGGUCAAUGAAAUUGAUCUGCCCGUGCAGAAGCGGACAUAAAAAUACAAGACGAGAAGACCCUUUGGAGCUUAAGGUUCACCUCAACCGCAUAAAAUAACUUACCAAACAAGUGCCAAACCUAGCGGAAAUGAGACAAUACCUUCGGUUGGGGCGACCAUGGAGAAAAAUUUAUCCUCCAAGUGGAUAGGACAUACAGUCUAAAACCAAGAGGCACACCUCUAAGCCACAGAAAAUCUGACCAAUAAUGAUCCGGCUCAAAAGCCGAUCAACGAACCAAGUUACCCUAGGGAUAACAGCGCAAUCCCCUCCCAGAGUCCAUAUCGACAAGGGGGUUUACGACCUCGAUGUUGGAUCAGGACAUCCUAAUGGUGCAGCCGCUAUUAAGGGUUCGUUUGUUCAACGAUUAAAGUCCUACGUGAUCUGAGUUCAGACCGGAGCAAUCCAGGUCAGUUUCUAUCUGUAACGUCUUUUUUCCUAGUACGAAAGGACCGGAAAAAAAAGGCCCAUGCCAAAAGCACGCCUUACCCCAAAUUAAUGAAAACAACUCAACUAAAUAAAGGGAGGACUAAAAACCAGGGCCAAGAUAAUGCCAC
rnacentral:rRNA from 1 species